AUGGGUGGGGCACCCAGCGGGGGUGGGCUUUGUCUCCAUGGCAUCACUAUAACAAACCUACAGAAGCAGCCCCAUUCGAUGAAGUACAGGAGGGCAAGGAGGGUCCAUCGCAGGGGCUAGGUGACCAUCUGGGGUGCCUGGUGAUGAAUCAGCUCCAGGACCCUCGAGGUUGUUGAGAGAGACCCUCUGGCAGAUAGAGGCCAGGAAGUCAGCUCCCCAGGCCUGCUGGAAGAGUAGCAACGCCAGUGCAAAGGCCCUGAGGUAGGGACAAGUGUGCUCUCUCUGACGAUGACUGCAGUGAGGGGCUGCACCCAUGGAGGACCACAUGCAGAGCUUCCUUCAGAGUGAAGCUGAUGGUCAUGACCUCACCCCGAAGAGCUCCAGGGCCACCUCUUCUCUGAGCCCCAGCUUCUGCUCCCCAGCCUCCUCUACUGACCCGGCUCACUGUGUGCCCGCAGCAGGUUGCCUUACCUCUCUGGGUCUUUUCUUCCAUUUGUCUUCCCAGUGGCUGGCAAGGACAUCUCCCAGGGUGGAGGAAGGGUGUCCCUGCUCCCCUCCCUCCGUCCCUUUGGCCUUCCUCGCAGGACAGAGCCGGCUUCUGGUGGCUGGGUGCCCCAGGAAUAUCUGCAGGAGCCCACGCUGCAGGCCACGUGGAUGCUGCGCCCCCGGCUUCCAGGCUGUGGACCCAGGCUGGGCUUGAAUCCAAGAGGCCCGACCCCUCCUGGGUGUUUGGCUGAAUCAAUGUUUAAUUAAAUAUUUAUUCA